UAUGUUCUUGCACUGUUCUUUGUAUCUUUUGCCCUUAAUCUCAAUCUCAUCCUUAGGAUCUUGUUUACUUUAUGUCCUUGGUAAUUAUUGUAAUUGGAAUCAAAUAAGUUCAGUUAUUUGUUAUUGUACCACUACGCACGUAAUGAAUAUAGACUAUAAACAUAAAGAGUUUAUAUGAAGGCUUGAACUGGUAUUGAUUCCAGGUCAUUUUCAUGUAUGCUUAAUGCAUAUGAAAUAAAAGUGUGUGCAAAGUCACAUUUGCUUUUUAAUGAACACAUUUUUUAUAUAUAUAUAUAUAUAUAUAUAUAUGGAAUGCAUGAUUUUAUUCCCCUGAAAUGAACACUGUGGUAAUUUCAAUAUGCAUAAUACUCCAUUGUCUAUUAUUGUCACUCACUUGUUUAGUUGUAAGUAAUAGAGAAAAGAGGUCUACUAGCUAUGAGUUAUUUGUUUAAUUCAGAAAUCAGUACCUGCACUGUUCAGUCACCAGACCCGUCCAAAAAAUGUUAUCAUUCAUGUUGUACCUACCGUUUUCUUCUCAAAGUGGCCAAUUAUAUAUGCAACAAUAAA